AUCACUCAGAUAAACAGCAGCAGUGCGUAUGUUCUGUAAAUAGCCACAAGUGAGACCUGAAAUCAGCCUCUUUCAUCUGAAUCCAGGGGCAGCAAGCUGAGGGGUCUUUGGGCUGCUGGGCUGAUUCUAUAAGAACCCCUCUGGUUCGGAGCUGCAGGAGUCCCUUCCAUUUAUAUUGGUGUUCCUCUUUUACCAUUUUGGCUUCUUGCUCAUACCUAUUUUCUCUUAGUUCCAAUCUCAGCGAAUGGAAUAGAUUCUACAAAGUCAAGCAGAAUAUUCCCUCUUGUCUGGCUUCUCACAAGUAUGCUAAGUCUCUCCCGUGGAGCACUUUUAGCGAGACUCCCAGAAAAGCACCACAUGCGUGAUUCCAAACGUGCAGAAUGUCCCAGAAAACCUCAGCGACGUCUCCCCGUGUUCCUGCCUCCAUUGCCUCAGAGGGAGGACAAAGUAAGAGGGCUGCUUUCUACAAGCAAAAAAGAGAGCUCUCACCAGGAACCAAAACUGCUAUCUCCUUGAUUUUGAACUUCUAGCCGCCAAUGCUAUGAGAAUAUGAAUAUCUCUUGUUUAGGUCACCCAGUCCAUGAUAUUUUGUUAUGGCAGCAUGAGAAGACUAAUACCCAUGUCAAGAGGUCUCCAGUUAUACAGAAGUCAAACCAAGGCUUUUCAACAACCCCAAGAGAGUUUAGAAGCAGACCCCCCUUGAUCCAACCUUCAGAUGAGACCACAACCCUGAUUGACAGAUUGACUCUCAUCCUAUGAGAUGACACACAACUACACCACACCCAGAUUCCUGACUCACAGAAACUGUAAGAUAAUAAAUAUUGUUGUCAUAAAC
ensembl:lncRNA